AUUCAUACAACCGCACAGCGUAUUUGUAGAAGGAUAUUAUUUGCAAUAUUUUAAUCUUUUUUUAAACAAAUUUCUAAUGUUUAUUUUUGAGAGAGCACAAGCAGGGGAGGGGCAGAGAGAAGGGGACAGAGGGUCCAAGGCAGACUGCAUGCUGACAGCAGUGAGCCCAAUGUGGGGCUCAAACCCACGAACCGUGAGAUCGUGGCCUGAGCGGAAGAAAGAUGCUCAACCGACUGAGCCACCCAGGUGCCCCAUAACAAAGAGUGUUAAAUAAGUUAAAGAAUAAUGGUAUACCACAAAGUGGAAUGUUGAUCAGUCAAAACUAGCAGAAUACGUGUAGUAUUAUCUCAUUUUUGCUUUAAAAGGAACAUUUGUAUACAUGUGGUUAUCUGAUAAGUGGUUUUGGAAGGCUGUAUACCAAGCAUUCAUAGUUAUUGGGGCAAAUGGAGAGGUCAUGUACUUUCUUAAUUCCUUUUUUGACGAUGAGCACAUAUAUAUAGCUUGUAUAAUAAAAAUAUCUGUUGAGUUUCAAACAUACAAAAGCUGAGGGAAUAGAAAGAAAACCUUUAUACCCAUCCCUCAGUUUUAACUGUUAUCAACUUAUUGCCACGCUUGCUUCAAAAAUAGUUACUGGUUUUUUUUGUUCAAGGAAAAAGAUGUUUGUUUGUAUCAUAUCUAUUAGUCUGUAAGCUUUUUUUUUUUUGAAUACAUGAAUAUAUUUCCAAUGUAAAAUAUUUUAAAAAUAGAGAUAAGUAAAAGUACCCCUUGUCACUCCCUCUAUUCCUCAUCAUUUCCCUACACAGAAGUGACUAGUCUUAACCAUUUCCAGUGUGUUUAUACAUACGUAAAAUAUGUGGUGUGUGUUGAUUGAGUUUGCUUUUCUCUGGUUUCUUCUAUUAUUCAGAGGCCAGAGACUCAGAAGAGAGCCAGUAAUGGGCAAGGCCUGGGACACCAUGGCUCUCCACACCCUGUGUUAGUCAAGGUCAGCUUUGCUGGCAAGGUUAUAGUUUGUCCUGGGAACCCUACUGCAGGGAGGGGACAGUGAAGGAAAGUAGCCAGGCAGAGCCAUAAAAAGGAAUGCCUCUGUGACUCCGUCAGCCAAUUCCUUAUAAUAAAUUACUGUCAGUAGAGCCCUGUUGCUGCCAAUAAGUUUAGUAUUGUUUCCUAGAUGUCUUUCAUAGAGCAGUCAUUGGAGUGAAAAAAGAUCCCCAAUCUGUUUUGUUUUGUUUUCUAUAGGCCUAGGGUUUGUGGCUAAAUUUCUUGGUGAGGCCUGCUCCUCAAAAGACUAUUUAUUGAACAAGAAAAAACAACUGCAGAUGGCUGAGUAAUCUCUGUGCCUAACCCAACGUGGGGCUCGAACUCACCACCCCUGAGAUCAAGAGUAGCAUAUUUUACUGAGCCAGCAAGGCGCCCCACUGGUCUUUUUGAGCAAUUUGAGACUCCAUGUCCUCAAUGUGGCAGAUUGAAUUUUUCAAAGAUGAAAGCAGCUGUGUCUCCCAUUCUACGCGUUUUUCUGCAGUGACCUCGCUCCUCCCAUCAAGAGGUACUGUAGUCUCUAUCUUGAAUCUAGGUGGUCUCUGUGACUACUUUGAUCAAUAGAAUACCGUGGAAGUGAUGUGUGCCAGUCUAGAUGACAUUCUUAAUGUUUUUAUGAGUGUGUGAGCAGGGGAGAGGGGCGGAGAGGGAGAAAGAGAAUCUUAAGCACGUUCCACACUGAUCGUGGCUCAUUCAGUUAAGUGACUUCAGCUCAGGUCAUAAUCUCACGGCUCAUGGGUUCAAGCCCCACGUUGGCCUCUCUGCUGUCACCACAGAGCUCGCUUUGGAGGCUAUCUCCACCUCUCUGCCCCUUCUCUGUUCAUGCACUCUAUCAAAAGUAAGUAAACACUAAAAAAAAAUAAAUGCUAUAAAAAACAGAAUCUUACAAAAAUAAAUUUCACAUUUCACAAUUACUAGUCUAUUCAACUAAUAAGGCAACUUGAGGAACUAAAUGUAAGACUUUAGCUCUGACCAAAUAACUAUGUAAGAUUUUUUUUAGAAAUUUUUGCAUGCCCCAUAGUAAGUCUAUUUGUUUUUUUAUUAAAAACUUUUUU